UACUAAAAAUAGAACCGCCCAUCUCGUAUGUACUACCUGUCAGUUUUGUUUUGAAUUAAGCAUUUCUUAGGUUUAUUUGAAAAACAAUUAAUACAGGAACUUGAUCCACCCCUAUGACGAGAUAUGUGCGAUAUUUAUAAAAUGGGAUGAAAUAAACUUGUAAAAUACCUGAAGUCAUUGGCAAGUUCAGGCAACGUUACUUAACGACAGAUACCUUCGCUGAUACAAAUAUUCUGCAUGAGCAUGAAUAAGCAUAAUGGAUUAUCGGAAGCCUCAUUUGAAGUUUCAGCCUUUUACGAAGAGAAAUAUGUUUCGUACAACAUAUAUGUGGUAUUGUCGAAAUU